GAACGCACAUUGCGCCCUCUGGUAUUCCGGGGGGCAUGCCUGUUCGAGCGUCAUUACAACCCUCAAGCUCUGCUUGGUAUUAGGCUUCACCCCCAAGGGCGGGCUUCAAAAUCAGUGGCGGUGCCAUUUGGCUUCAAGCGUAGUAAUUUUCUCGCUUUGGAGGACCGAGUGUGUGCCUGCCAGCAACCCCAAUAUUUUUUAAAGGUUGACCUCGGAUCAGGUAGGGAUACCCGCUGAACUUAAG
rnacentral:misc_RNA from 1 species